GCUAGCAUGGUGUAGUGGUUUGAACUUUGGACUAUUAUUCUGAAGAUCAGGGUUCAGUUCCCUGCUCAGCC